GUGAGAGAAUCAGAAGUCAACGGUAGAAGAGAAAAAAACAUUGUCUACAUUAAAAAGUGCAGAUUCUUAGAAGAAACAAAUUGUGUUGGAAUGUGUACUAAUUUGUGCAAAAUCCCAUCUCAAGUAUUCAUAAAAGACUCCUUUGGUAUGCCAGUGAACAUGGUCCCAAAUUUUGAUGAUAUGAGUUGUGAGAUGAUAUUUGGCCAGGAACCACCAUCAUCAACUGAUGAUCCCGCACUCAAGCAACCCUGCUAUAAACUAUGCAAGGCAAAGAAAAGCCAUGGAACGAAUUGUAUCAACUAA